rnacentral:rRNA from 1 species
UGGAUGGAGAGUUUGAUCCUGGCUCAGGACGAACGCUGGCGGCGUGCCUAACACAUGCAAGUCGAGCGGUCCGGCGAUCGACGGAAGUUGAGAGCCGGAUAGCGGCGGACGGGUGAGUAACGCGUGGGCAACCUACCCUUAAGACCGGGAUAACACCUCGAAAGGGGUGCUAAUACUGGAUAAGCUCCUUGUAGGGCAUCCUAUGGGGAGGGAAGGUAGCGGAAGCUACCGCUUAAGGAAGGGCCCGCGUCCCAUCAGCUAGUUGGUAGGGUAACGGCCUACCAAGGCGACGACGGGUAGCCGGCCUGAG